GCUGUGAUGGCCGAGUGGUUAAGGCGUUGGACUUGAAAUCCAAUGGGGUCUCCGUGCGCAGGUUCAAACCCUGCUCACAGUG